rnacentral:lncRNA from 1 species
AGCAGCUUUUGUCUUUCAAUGAUUUUGGCAAAUAAAAGCACGGAGGCGUCAAAAAAAGGGGGGGUCUGUCAUGUUAAAAAUGAAUAAUACACACAGAUUUGCCGCUGGUGUGGGUAUUUAUAUUUGGAAUGGUUAAUAAUGGCAAAUAUAUCAAUGACCUGCAACUUUGAGAAGGCAAUAUAUCAUUGGGUAGAAAUUCUAUUAUCAAUUAAUGGGUCAUACGUACAUGAUAUACACCUACUGUAGACUAAAAUGUGUGUUCUAAUAAUUUUAUCUCCU